rnacentral:rRNA from 1 species
UACGAAGGGGCAAGCGUUGUUCGGAAUUACUGGGCGUAAAGGGCGCGUAGGCGGCCGAUCAAGUCAGGCGUGAAAUUCCCGGGCUCAACCUGGGGCUGCGCUUGAUACUGAUUGGCUUGAAUGCGGGAGAGGAUAGUGGAAUUCCCAGUGUAGAGGUGAAAUUCGUAGAUAUUGGGAAGAACACCGGUGGCGAGGCGGCUAUCUGGCCCGUAAUUGACGCUGAGGCGCGAAAGCGUGGGGAGCAAACAGG